CGGUAAAAUACCCCUGCAUGAAAUACCUCUGGGCGGGCGGGCAGUGCUGAUAGCACCACCGUGAGAUACCGGAAGCAUGCGAUGGUCUGGCUGCCAGGCUAUGUUAAAGUAAUUUAGCAUUCUUGGAGUUUAUAUUCGUCUGUUAGUAUAAUACCUGAUGAAUUUAUUUUUAGAAAUUUGUACUGUGAAGAUUCUAACACCCGUUUUCCUGACUUCAUUCAUCUUGUUCUAUGUGUGGUUUGUUCCGUCCAUUUUGCUUACAGAAUUUGGUCAGUAUAUCAUUACAGAUCCGACUGGUCUUUAUCAGGUAUCGGCGAUCAGUGUUUUAGCAAGGAGGUAUUUAACCUCCUUGGUUUUAGUGAAUUUUUUUUAAUAGCUGCUCGUUUUUAGCGGCUGGUUUUUUGGUUUAUGUAAAGUUUGAGCCACCUGACGCCAUGUUCCGCCGGGGUUUUCCGGCCUUACCCCAAUUCUCUCCGUCAAGGCUCUUCUGUCCAGUAACCCCGGGCGUUGGAUUUUCUUGUCUUUCCAGUAAACCUCAGACAUGCAGCGAGGGAUACCCUACUGUUCUACACUGGCCACCGGUGCCGGCAUAUAUGCCCUGUCUGCGCUAAACUGCCCGCACCUGCCAACGACGCAGGGUUCCCAACAGUGGAGACCAUCUCAGUGCACGGAGAAGGUUUCACUCUACAUGGCGACAAACACAACAGUUACUCAAGAAUACAAUUAAGAAGUGGAACAAAAUACCAGGUAAACUUCGCCAUGUCCACCCUGAGAUGCAGACUACAACAGGAAUUCACUGGCUAGCAUGAAACCUAGUCGUGGAAGGCUUGGGGUGUGCAUUCAUGUUUUGCAGCCAAGAAAAUUGAAAAACAAGCAUGGAAUGCAACAGCAUCAUGGAAGCAAAGAAAAUAAAAACUAAAAAAGCAAGACUGACACAAACAUACA